rnacentral:snRNA from 1 species
GUUUUCCCUUCGGCAGCACACAUGCUAAAAUUAGAAUGAUCCAGAGUUAGGAUAGCACCUGGAUAAGGGCAACAUUUAACCUCAUGAAGUGUUCUACAGUCUA